rnacentral:rRNA from 1 species
AUGGAAUUGCGAAAAAAGCUGAAAGAACACUACAAGAUCAAAAUCCACUACAAGAGAGUCUAUAUGGGUAAGAUGCUAGCCUUGAAGCAACUAUACGGUGAUUGGGAUAGUAGUUUUAACAACUUGUAUAGGUUUAAAGCACAAGUUGAAAGUUGCUGCCCUAAUAGCAUAGUGCAGAUCGACCAUCAUACCAUAAAUGAUAAAAUAAGGUUUAGAAGAAUUUUUGUUGCUCUCAAACCUUGCAUAGAUGGAUUUCUUAGUGGCUGCAGGCCAUAUUUGGCUGUGGACAGCACCUUUAUGACAGGCAGAUUCAAGGGGCAAUUGGCUAGUGCUACUGCAGUGGAUGGCCAUAAUUGGAUGUAUCCAGUUUGUUUUGGAAUUUUUGACUCUGAAACAAAUGAAAAUUGGAUCUGGUUCAUGCAAUUGCUAAGACAGGCCAUAGGAUCACCAACAGGUUUAGCCAUAUGCACUGGUGCUGGCCAAGCAGUGAUGACAGGGGUAAAAGAAGUGUUCCCAGAGGCAGAACAUAGAGAAUGUAUGUUCCACUUGGUGAGCAACUUCAAGAAUAAGUUUACUGGAAAAGUAUUUGAUGACCACCUAUGGGCAGCUGCUUACUCAUGGAACCCAUAUAUAUUUGACAAGAAUUGGGCUACAAUGGAGGCAGUAAAGCCAGCCGCAACAGCAUAUAUUAGGAAGUGGCACAAUAGGUUGUGGUCUAGGAGUCAGUUCUCGACCAUAUGCAAGGUGGACUAUGUAACCAACAACUUGGCAGAGUGCUUUAACAAUUGGAUCAAGCACCACAAGUCAUUGAACUUGGAUGAUUUCUUGGACAAGGCAAGGCAGUUGAUUAUGAUCUUGUGGAAUGAUAGGAGAAAAGUAGCAAAGAAGUUAGAUGGAUUGAUUAUACCCCACAUAAUGAAGAAGUUAAACGCAUUGACUAGAGAAUUCAACUUGGAGGUGGUAGAAUGCUCAGAAGAAGUGGCUGAAGUGGUUGCAUUAGGAGGCAGCGGUUUUAGGUUUGUCGUUAACUUGCAAGAUCGAACAUGUUCAUGUCGACAAUGGCAAGUUUGUGGUCUUCCUUGCAAACAUGCUCUUGCAUUCAUCACAUCACUUAGAGAUGCUCACAUAAAGAAUUACGUUGAUUUGUAUUAUUCCACUGAAAAAUUCAGAGCAGCCUAUUCCAACAUGAUCCCUGCUAUGCCUGACAAGAGCCAAUGGCCUGAAUCUGACCAUGGAUUUUUCAAGCAUCCACCACUACUUAAAGCUACAGCUGGCAGGCCUAAAACUGAGAGAUAUAAAGGUUGUAGUGACAAGAAAAGAAAAAAGGGUAAGCACUUAUGUCCAAUUUGUAAGGAAUAUGGGCAUCAUUGGCACAACUGUAAGAAGGGUAACCCUGAUGACAUUGUUGCAAUGUUGGCUAUUAGAGAACCACCAAAGAAGAGGGCAAAGACUAGCAAAACAGCCCAGUCCAUUGUGCCUUACGAGGAUGGAGCACCAACAAGGAUGCUUUUUCCACCACCAAGCCAAAGCUUGGAAAUUACAACUAAGAAAAAGAGAAAACGUGACAACACUGAAUCUGGAGGUUCAAAGAGAUCAAAAACUAGCUCCAUUGAGAAGGCCAAGACGAAAAAGAAGGUUGCUAAGAAGAUUUUGGUGCCACUUGACAGCCCAGCAAUGGGCACAAGGAGCAGAAAGUUUAAUCCUCCUAGCCCUGCUAUGAGCACAAGAAGCAAAAGAAUGCUCAGCUUGUAA